rnacentral:rRNA from 1 species
AACGAGACGGGAUGGAAUGACCCUUCGGGGGAAUGAAAUCCUAGAAAGUGGCGAACGGGUGAGUAACGCGUGGGUAACCUGCCCUAUGGAAAGGAAUAGCCUCGGGAAACUGGGAGUAAUGCCUUAUAAUAUACGAGAGUCGCAUGGCUUUUGUAUUAAACGCUCCGGUGCCAUAGGAUGGACCCGCGUCCCAUUAGCUAGUUGGUGAGAUAACAGCCCACCAAGGCAACGAUGGGUAACCGGUCUGAGAGGGCGAACGGUCACACUGGAACUGAGACACGGUCCAGACUCCUACGGGAGGCAGCAGUGGGGAAUAUUGCGCAAUGGGGGCAACCCUGACGCAGCAAUACCGCGUGAGUGAAGAAGGUUUUCGGAUCGUAAAGCUCUGUUAUUGGGGAAGAAAAAAGACGGUACCCAAGAAGAAAGUCCCGGCUAACUACGUGCCAGCAGCCGCGGUAAUACGUAGGGGACAAGCGUUGUCCGGAUUUACUGGGCGUAAAGGGCACGCAGGCGGUUUUUUAAGUCAGAUGUGAAAGGUACCGGCUCAACCGGUGACAUGCAUUUGAAACUGAAAGACUUGAGUAUUGGAGAGGCAAGUGGAAUUCCUAGUGUAGCGGUGAAAUGCGUAGAUAUUAGGAGGAACACCGGUGGCGAAGGCGGCUUGCUGGGACAAAUACUGACGCUGAGGUGCGA